GAUGAACGCUGGCGGCGUGCUUAACACAUGCAAGUCGAACGAUGAAGCUCAGCUUGCUGGGUGGAUUAGUGGCGAACGGGUGAGUAACACGUGAGUAACCUGCCCUUAACUCUGGGAUAAGCCUGGGAAACUAGGUCUAAUACCGGACAGGAGCGCCUACCGCAUGGUGGGUGUUGGAAAAAUUUAUCGGUUUUGGAUGGACUCGCGGCCUAUCAGCUUGUUGGUGAGGUAAUGGCUCACCAAGGCGACGACGGGUAGCCGGCCUGAGAGGGUGACCGGCCACACUGGGACUGAGACACGGCCCAGACUCCUACGGGAGGCAGCAGUGGGGAAUAUUGCACAAUGGGCGAAAGCCUGAUGCAGCGACGCCGCGUGAGGGAUGACGGCCUUCGGGUUGUAAACCUCUUUCAGUAGGGAAGAAGCGAAAGUGACGGUACCUGCAGAAGAAGCACCGGCUAACUACGUG
rnacentral:rRNA from 1 species